CUACGGAGGGUGCAAGCGUUAAUCGGAAUUACUGGGCGUAAAGGGUUCGUAGGCGGUUAUUUAAGUCAGAUGUGAAAGCCCCGGGCUCAACCUGGGAAUUGCAUCUGAUACUGGGUAACUAGAGUUUAAGAGAGGAGUGUGGAAUUUCCGGUGUAGCGGUGAAAUGCAUAGAGAUCAGAAGGAACAUCAGUGGCGAAGGCGGCACUCUGGCUUAAAACUGACGCUCAGGAACGAAAGCGUGGGUAGCAAACAGGAUUAGAAACCCUAGUAGUCC
rnacentral:rRNA from 1 species